rnacentral:tRNA from 1 species
AGUCCCGUCGUCUAGUGGCCAAGGAUUCUGGCCUUUGAAGCCAGAGGCGCAGGUUCGAAUCCUGCCGGGACUA